rnacentral:rRNA from 1 species
UACGGAGGGGGCUAGCGUUGUUCGGAAUUACUGGGCGUAAAGCGCACGUAGGCGGACAGUUCAGUCGGGGGUGACAUCCCGGGGCUCAACCCCGGAACUGCCUUCGAUACUGGCUGUCUGGAGGUCGAGAGAGGUGAGUGGAAUUCCGAGUGUAGAGGUGAAAUUCGUAGAUAUUCGGAGGAACACCAGUGGCGAAGGCGGCUCACUGGCUCGAUAAUGACGCUGAGGUGCGAAAGCGUGGGGAGCAAACAGG